AUCCCAACCGAUCCGAGGGUACGUGAUAAGCCGUAAAGAGCCCAGCGAGGCAGUGCGACGCGAGCUUCACGAGGCGGCGGAGAGAGCCAACUACCAGGGAGACCAGCUCCCUGAUUCUCCGAACGAGGGACACCCAGUUCCCCGGAUCCAUCACGCGGAGGCGAAGGAGCCAGACCAAUACUCAGCUUUCUACGACAACGUCUUCUCCGACUCAUUUUAUUCAUUCGACUCAUUCGAACGGAAUCAACAUGAAGUGGUCUCCAGCUUUCUGCCUUCUCAUUCUGACCGUCGUAUCGGUCUCGGCCCAAGAACCGCAGAUCACCAUUAUUCAAGACCUCGAAACAGUUAUCUCUUUAAUAACGGAUCCCAUCAUCGAAGUGUUGACAUAUUUCAACAUCUUCGGCUUGGCUGAAACCUUGGAAAAUGAGCGUGAAAUCCUUUUUACGCUCCUCGAGUCUCUCCCAGGGUUCUGAUGGAUACGCUGCCAUGUUCCGGAAGAAGCAUUGGACGAAUUGGCGUUCCCCUCCUACCGCAAUAAAUUGAAUAUUUAAUUCUAAGAUCGCAUA